rnacentral:rRNA from 1 species
AGUUAUGUUCUUUAAAUUUAAAAAAUUUGGCGGUGUUUUARUCUAGUUAGAGGAACCUGUGUUAURAACGAUACUACACGUAUUAUUUUACUUAUUUUAGUAGAUCAGCUKGUAUACCGUCMUUAUAAGAUAAUUUAGGAGAGAAUAUUAUUGAGAUCAUAUUMUUGAGUAUAUUAGAUCAAGGUGCAGCUUAUGGGUAAGUAAACAUGGGUUACAAUMAAAUUUAUUUMAUAUGAAUUA